GGUAUUUAAUUAGUUGGGAUAAUUAUUAUUUUGAGUAAUUAAUCUAAUUUGAUAAGCUGAAUCUUGGGUCAAUUUGACCCAUUUGGUUUUUGAAGUAAUUAACAUGGGGUUUUAAGGGUAGUCUAGGGAUUGUUUAAAUUGGGUAGUCUUACCUAACUAAUUAGGAAGCUUCUAGAGUGGUGGGGUUGGGAGUGCAUUACUGAAUAGAGUAAAGAAAAGGAUUUGAGUGGAGUCAAAUAAAAAAUUGGGGAAGGGGUAUUUGUGAAUAGGUAAUUAAUUUAUGCUACCUAUUUAAAGAGAGGAAAAUACACUGAAAUAGAGGAAAAAAAGGAGUGGGUAGCCUUGAGAGCUUCUUCGUCAACAACAAAAGAAACGAUAGACAUCCCUCCCAACUUCCAAAAAAAAAAAGACUCAUCCUCACCUUAACUAAUUACGUUUUCUGAUCUUAAACCAGCUUUUCCAUAAAAACUCAUCAUUAAAUAAACACUAUCCAACCAAAACUAAUUAAACUCAUAAAAAUCCAGUAACACCACCUUGAACAAAAAUUGGUAACUAUCAUUCCUCCCAAUACCAUGUGAACCUCCGUCAAACAAGCUUCAAGUCUGCUGCUACGGAUUUUCGAAUUUGCCGGUGAGAUUUUCAGUUUGAGAUCACUAUUCACUGUUUCCCGCUCGAAGUCGUCAAGGUCUGGGUCGAGGGUGUCGUCCGAGGUUCGAGGUUCGUGGAAUAAUUUCAUGUUGCUGCUGUUUUUCGGCUCCUGUUACGCUGCUGUAAUUGCUUGAGUUUGAGAAGGAAGGUGCCCUAUUGAGGGAGGAGCUCCGAGACAGAGACUCUGAAGUUCUCAAACUCAAACGACACAUGACAAAGAUAACUUCUGAGAGGGAUACCCUCCAGAAAAAUAUGGCCUUAGUCGGGCACCAGCUUCAUGACGUGAGGGUGAUAGUGAUAAGUAUAGAGGUCUCCAUUCCGAGUUAGUUGCUGUACUAUCCGGGAUCAAAACUGAAGCUGAGGCGCUCAUAUCUUUGCACAAGGAGGAUGUUGUUAUAAUAAACGCUCAAGCCGGGAGAGUGCCCGAGGAGGCUGAAUUGAAGCUAAAUCGAGCCGUGGAGCAUGAUCGGUUAGAAUCUCGGAGGUGGACUCUCGAGGAUAUAAACGUGGGGGGUAUCAAUUUGUCUGCCGAGCUCGAAAGGGUGAAGACUCUAGAGAAGAAAGCUGCUGCACUGGUUACUUUUGGCAGUGUGUCGGGUAGUGGCUCAGGAGAUGAUGAGAAUGAAGGCGGGAUCCCCAAAGGGGAAGAGGCCGUUGAAGGUCCUGGGGUUGUAGCCGGAUCCGUUGGGGCACAACCUCCGGUGGAGCCGUCAAAGAUGUAGGCUCGAUGAUAGAUUAAAUUCGGCUCCUUCUUUGUGAGGGUUUUUAAAGGCCUUGUAAACGUACCUCUGUGAGCAAUAUGUAUAAAAGGCUUUCCGUUUGUUAUCA